UACGGGGGGGAGCAAGCGUUGUUCGGAUUUACUGGGCGUAAAGGGCGCGUAGGCGGCCACCGCAAGUCAGUUGUGAAAUCUCUGGGCUUAACCCAGAAAGGUCAACUGAUACUGCGGGGCUAGAGUGCAGAAGGGGCAACUGGAAUUCUCGGUGUAGCGGUGAAAUGCGUAGAUAUCGAGAGGAACACCUGCGGCGAAGGCGGGUUGCUGGGACGGUACUGACGCUGAGACGCGAAAGCGUGGGGAGCAAACAGG
rnacentral:rRNA from 1 species